rnacentral:rRNA from 1 species
AUUGAACGCUGGCGGCAGGCCUAACACAUGCAAGUCGAACGAGUGGCGGACGGGUGAGUAAUGUCUGGGAAACUGCCUGAUGGAGGGGGAUAACUACUGGAAACGGUAGCUAAUACCGCAUACCAUCGGAUGUGCCCAGAUGGGAUUAGCUAGUAGGUGGGGUAAAGGCUCACCUAGGCGACGAUCCCUAGCUGGUCUGAGAGGAUGACCAGCCAAAAUGGAACUGAGCGACGGUCCAGACUCCGACGUGAGGCAGCAGUGGGGAAGAUUGCACAAGGGGCGAAAGGCUGAGGCAGCCAUGCCGCGUGUAUGAAGAAGGCAUUCGGGUUGUAAAGUACUUUCAGCGGGGAGGCGUUACCCGCAGAAGAAGCACCGGCUAACUCCGUGCCAGCACCCGCGGUAAUAC